AUUGAACGCUGGCGGCAUGCUUUACACAUGCAAGUCGAACGAGAUCUUCGGAUCUAGUGGCGCACGGGUGCGUAACGCGUGGGAAUCUGCCCUUGGGUUCGGAAUAACAGUGAGAAAUUACUGCUAAUACCGGAUGAUGUCUUCGGACCAAAGAUUUAUCGCCCAGGGAUGAGCCCGCGUAGGAUUAGGUAGUUGGUGGGGUAAUGGCCUACCAAGCCGACGAUCCUUAGCUGGUCUGAGAGGAUGAUCAGCCACACUGGGACUGAGACACGGCCCAGACUCGUACGGGAGGCAGCAGUGGGGAAUAUUGGACAAUGGGCGAAAGCUUGAUCCAGCAAUGCCGCGUGAGUGAUGAAGGCCUUAGGGUUGUAAAGCUCUUUUACCAGGGAUGAUAAUGACAGUACCUGGAGAAUAAGCUCCGGCUAACUCCGUGCCAGCCGCCGCCGUAAGAC
rnacentral:rRNA from 1 species